rnacentral:tRNA from 1 species
UGGGGGAUGGUGAAAUGGUAUCACAGCAGACUCUGACUCUGUUUUUCUAGGUUCGAAUCCUAGUCCCCCAGCCA